AGAGUUUGAUCAUGGCUCAGGAUGAACGCUAGCUACAGGCUUAACACAUGCAAGUCGAGGGGUAGCAGGGUAGCAAUACCGCUGACGACCGGCGCACGGGUGAGUAACACGUAUCCAACCUUCCCAUAACUCAGGGAUAGCCUUUCGAAAGAAAGAUUAAUACCUGAUAGUACUUUUUCAAGGCAUCUUGAGAAAGUUAAAGAUUUAUUGGUUAUGGAUGGGGAUGCGUUCCAUUAGAUAGUUGGUGAGGUAACGGCUCACCAAGUCUUCGAUGGAUAGGGGUUCUGAGAGGAAGGUCCCCCACAUUGGUACUGAGACACGGACCAAACUCCUACGGGAGGCAGCAGUGAGGAAUAUUGGUCAAUGGGCGAGAGCCUGAACCAGCCAAGUAGCGUGAAGGAUGAAGGUCCUAUGGAUUGUAAACUUCUUUUAUAGUAGAAUAAAGUGAUCCACGUGUGGAUUUUUGUAUGUAUACUAUGAAUAAGGAUCGGCUAACUCCGUGCCAGCAGCCGC
rnacentral:rRNA from 1 species